rnacentral:rRNA from 1 species
UACGAAGGGGGCUAGCGUUGCUCGGAAUUACUGGGCGUAAAGGGCGCGUAGGCGGCUAGUUUAGUCAGAGGUGAAAGCCCAGGGCUCAACCUUGGAAUUGCCUUUGAUACUGGCUAUCUUGAGUUCGGGAGAGGUGAGUGGAAUGCCGAGUGUAGAGGUGAAAUUCGUAGAUAUUCGGCGGAACACCAGUGGCGAAGGCGACUCACUGGCCCGAUACUGACGCUGAGGCACGAAAGCGUGGGGAGCAAACAGG